UGAGGCAGGAGAAUUGCUUGAACCCAGGAGGUGGAGGCUGCAGUGAGCCGAGAUCGCACCACUGCACUCUAGCCUGGGUGACAGAGCGAGACUCUUGUCUC
rnacentral:miRNA from 1 species